GAGUUUGAUCUUGGCUCAGAUUGAACGCUGGCGGCAUGCUUUACACAUGCAAGUCGAACGGCAGCGCGGGGCAACCUGGCGGCGAGUGGCGAACGGGUGAGUAAUAUAUCGGAACGUACCCAAGAGUGGGGGAUAACGUAGCGAAAGUUACGCUAAUACCGCAUACGAUCUAAGGAUGAAAGUGGGGGAUCGCAAGACCUCAUGCUCCUGGAGCGGCCGAUAUCUGAUUAGCUAGUUGGUGAGGUAAAGGCUCACCAAGGCGACGAUCAGUAGCUGGUCUGAGAGGACGACCAGCCACACUGGAACUGAGACACGGUCCAGACUCCUACGGGAGGCAGCAGUGGGGAAUUUUGGACAAUGGGCGCAAGCCUGAUCCAGCAAUGCCGCGUGAGUGAAGAAGGCCU
rnacentral:rRNA from 1 species